AGCGAACGUUUGCGGCGGGCUUAACACAUGCAAGUCGAACGAGAAUCCCUUCGGGGAGGAAAGUGGCGCACGGGUGCGUAACACGUGGAUAACCAACCCAUUGGUUUGGGACAACACCGGGAAACUGGUGCUAAUACCAGAUGUGUCGCAGCUGUCUUCAGGCGGUUGCGAGAAAGGCCCGCAAGGGUCGCCAACGGACGGGUCCGCGUCCCAUCAGCUAGUUGGUGAGGUAAUGGCUCACCAAGGCAAAGACGGGUAGCUGGUCUGAGAGGAUGAUCAGCCACACUGGAACUGAGACACGGUCCAGACUCCUACGGGAGGCAGCAGUGGGGAAUAUUGCGCAAUGGGCGAAAGCCUGACGCAGCCACGCCGCGUGAGCGAUGAAGGUCUUC
rnacentral:rRNA from 1 species